rnacentral:rRNA from 1 species
UGAGUUUGAUCCUAGCUCAGGAUGAACGCUGGCGGCGUGGAGAAGGCAUGCAAGUCGCACGGGUGCGUGCUUUGCACGCAGUUUGAAAGUCCACAAAGUCCAUAAAGUCCAUAAAGUAAAUUGAAUUUGCUUUACAAACUUUAUAGACUUUUAACUUUUGACUUGCGCGCAGAGCGCGCAUUAGUGGCAAACGAGAUAGUAAUACAUAGAUUAUCUACCCUUGUCACGGGGAUAGCCCGGCGAAAGCCGGAUUAAUAACCGAUGGCCUCGUUAUCGCAAGAUAAUGAGUAAAGGCGCAAGCCGGACAAGGAGGAGUCUGCGCAAUAUCAGCUAGUUGGUAAGGUAAUGGCUUACCAAGGCUAUGACGUUUAGGGGGGGUGAGAGCCCGAUCCCCAUCGAUGGCACUGCGACACGGGCCAUACACCUACGGGUGGCAGCAGUCGAGAGUCUUCCACAAUGGGCGAAAGCCUGAUGGAGCGACGCCGCGUGAAUGAUGAAGGGCUUCGGCCUGUAAAAUUCUUUUCUCCGUGAGAAAUCCGAGUCAAAUCGGUAUGAUGUUAGCGGAGGAAUAAGGGGUUGCUAAACUCGUGCCAGCAGCAGCGGUAAUACGAGUGCCCCGAGCGUUAUCCGGAAUCACUGGGCGUAAAGGGUGUGUAGGAGGCCGCGUUAGUCUUGUCUUAAAGGUUUCGGCUUAACCGAAAACAUGGACAGGAAACGGCGCGACUAGAGAGUGCGAGAGGUGCGCGGAACUCAUGGUGUAGGGGUGAAAUCCGUUGAUAUCAUGGGGAACACCAAAGGCGAAGGCAGCGCACUGGCGCAUUUCUGACUCUGAAACACGAAAGCGUGGGGAUCAAAAAGGAUUAGAUACCCUUGUAGUCCACGCCCUAAACGAUGUUCUCUGGCUUUUUGAAGUAUCGACCCUUCGAGAGGCGAAGCUAACGCGUUAAGAGAACCGCCUGGGAAGUACGGCCGCAAGGCUAAAACUCAAAGGAAUAGACGGGGACUUGCACAAGCAGUGGAACAUGUGGUUUAAUUCGACGAUAAACGAAGAACCUCACCAGGACUGGAAAUCCAAACGAAGUCCCGCGGAAACGCAGGAUGUCUCACAAGGACGGUUGGACAGGUGAUGCAUGGCUGUCGUCAGUUCGUGAUUUGAAUUGUUCCCUUAAGUGGGGCAACGAACGCAACCCUUAUUGCCUGUUAUAUUUGUCAGGCGAGACUGCCGCUUUGCGGAGGAAGGAGAGGAUGACGCCAAGUCAGCAUGUCCCUUUGAUGUCCUGGGCUACACACAUGUUACAAUGGCCGGUACAAUGGGCCGCGAAGCCGAAAGGCGGAGCCAAUCCCAUCAAAGCCGGUCUAAGUUCGGAUUGAGGUCUGCAACUCGACCUCAUGAAGCUGGAAUUGCUAGUAAUCGCAGGUCAGCUAUACUGCGGUGAAUACGUUCUCAAGUCUUGUACUCG